AUGACGAAUGCCGAUGGAACUACAGGCUGUACCCCUCCAGGUCGCGGGUUCGAAUCCCGCCGGGUCCACCAACUGCGGGCUCGUAGCUCAGUGGUCAGAGCGGGUUCCCGCUUUACGGUGGGAGAGGUUUCAUCAUCCCUUGUCGUCAUGCC
rnacentral:Y_RNA from 1 species